CCUAAGCCUUGGCUAAUGAAUGCUGCAGGGGUUAUCUAAUACACAUUCUAUUUGCUCCAGGCCAUCCCUAUUUGUAACUUUCUAGCUGAGGUAUCAGGAUAUGUAACAACAGAGAUCUUCAAACUUGGCAAGUUUAAGACUUGGGGACUUC